rnacentral:rRNA from 1 species
GUCGAACGCUGGCGGCGUGCUUAACACAUGCCAGUCGAACGAUGAAGCCUAGCUUGCUAGGUGGAUUAGUGGCGAACGGGUGAGUAAUACGUGAGUAACCUACCUUUAACUCUGGGAUAAGCCUGGGAAACUGGGUCUAAUACCGGAUACGACCAAUCUCCGCAUGGGGUGUUGGUGGAAAGCGUUAUGUAGUGGUUAUAGAUGGGCUCACGGCCUAUCAGCUUGUUGGUGAGGUAACGGCUCACCAAGGCGACGACGGGUAGCCGGCCUGAGAGGGUGACCGGCCACACUGGGACUGAGACACGGCCCAGACUCCUACGGGAGGCAGCAGUGGGGAAUAUUGCACAAUGGGCGCAAGCCUGAUGCAGCGACGCCGCGUGAGGGAUGACGGCCUUCGGGUUGUAAACCUCUGUUAGCAGGGAAGAAGAGAAAUUGACGGUACCUGCAGAGAAAGCGCCGGCUAACUACGUG